AUGAACUUUGAAUUCGAUGACACAUGAGCAUCAGAGUGAUCAACGUCACAGACAACUUUUUUUCUAACCUACAAACACACCAUCAUCUUUCGCAUACUUUCGGCAGUCCAACUGCACUAAUCAUCGUCUUUAUGUCACGAGGCGGUAUCUGGCGAAAUUGUGCUUGAUACAAGCUAAGUGAAGGGAGUGGAUGUUUAAAAGACGAACAUUUUUCUACCCGAUUAAUUUUGUGUUUGGAGUAUGGUUACAUGGUUACCACUAGGACAAGACUAAAGCAUAUUCAUAUGAGGUUUAUCUGAGCGCUUAUUACCAAGACUGUAAAUGAGAAGGUUGGGAUGUAAACAAAUCUUGAGGAAAUUUCUCUGCUUGAAGUGAGCAUUCACAUGUCCAGUGAUUCAUGUCUCCACAUAUACAUUGGCCUGAGUUGUUUUGCUAGAAAGUUCGGACUUUGAGUGCACCAGUUGCUGUAUAGUACAUACGGUGCAAUGUAUUGCAAAGAGUUGUGCUAUUAUAUUUCUGAGGAUAUUUUCCAGUUCUCAUAUUGUGAUGUAUAUGGCAUAUUUGAUUGAACUUGGAUCUUCACAUAUGAUCAUCACACAUUGCCAUCAGAAAUUUCUCUGCUUGAAGUGAGCAUUCACAUGUGCAGUGAUUCAUGUCUCCACUGGCUCCACAUAUACAUUGGCCUGCGUUGGUGUGCUAGAAAGUUCGGAGUUUGUGCAGAUAGUGGGCCAGUUGCUGUAUAGUACAUACGGUGCAAUGUAUUGCAAAGAGUUCUGUUAUUAUAUUUCUGAGGAUAUUUUCCAGUUUUCUUUGAGCCAUCAAUUUGUAUUAGAGAAGGAUUAUAUAGAUUUUGUCCACGAUGGUCUAGCAAAUCACAAUCCCAGGAAUGUAUAGGGGUUCACCAACUCAAUGAUUGUAUCUCCCACAGUUAAAACUGGUUAACGUGGAGCACAUAUUCUUGUGUUAAGCAUGACUUUUGUUUUGUACAGGAUGCUAUGCAGGUUUCUAUGGCAUAGGUUGUAGUCGGAUACUCAAUAAGCGAGAUGGGUAGCGUAUCCGAGCAGUUUCACACGCUCCAGAAGGGUUUCUACCAGAUAGCAAUUCUAAAAGUUGAAUGUUAAUAGGCAGAAAAUUGCACUUCUAGACCUUGUACGAGUCAAUUAUUGGACUCUCCUUUCUCCUAUCAGCCUCAUGAUUAUGUUGAGGAUAUGAGUCGGAAGCCUUGCAGAUUGUAGAAUAAUGCGGAGUCUGCUCAUGUCGACGUUGUCGAAUGCAUUAAUGUCCUACGAGCAGAACUUCUCUAGUAGCUUCUCGUCUUAUGAUCGUAUUUGGAUGGUCGUGUGCUACAAUGAAGAUGGUGUUUCCCGUUUUGAUGCUGCUGCAAUAUUUGUAGUGAAAUGUACUAAGAUUGUCUAUAACGAAGCUAUCUAAAACAUGUUAUGCUGAGAUGAGUCAAAUAAAUACCGUACAACACAGAUAUUUUUUAUAAUUUUAU